UUCCAUACGAUGGAACCAAUCAUUGAAGC
rnacentral:piRNA from 1 species